GUGGAAGUAAAAAGUCGUAACAAGGUCUCCGUUGGUGAACCAGCGGAGGGAUCAUUAUUAGAAGCCGAAAGGCAUCUUAAAACCAUCGCGAACUCGUCCAAGUUGCUUCGGCGGUGCGGAGCGCAUUGCCCGCGGCCUCGCCUCUCCGGAGGUGCCAGGCAGCCGCCGGAGGUACGAAACUCUGUCUCACAGCGGUAUCUCUGAGUAAAAACAAAUAAGUCAAAACUUUCAACAACGGAUCUCUUGGUUCUGGCAUCGAUGAAGAACGCAGCGAAAUGCGAUAAGUAAUGUGAAUUGCAGAAUUCAGUGAAUCAUCGAAUCUUUGAACGCACAUUGCGCCCGCUAGUACUCUAGCGGGCAUGCCCGUUCGAGCGUCAUUUCAACCCUCAAGCCCUGCUUGGUGUUGGGGCCCUACGGCUGCCGUAGGCCCUGAAAGGAAGUGGCGGGCUCGCUGCAACUCCGAGCGUAGUAACUCAUUAUCUCGCUAGGGAGGCGUGGCGGUGCUCCGGCCGUUAAAGACCAAAUCUUUAACCAAGGUGACCUC
rnacentral:rRNA from 1 species